GGGCUCAUCGUCCAAGGGGAGGACGCCGGUAUGGCAUGCCGGAAAUCUGGGUUCAAUUCCCGGUGGGUCCA
rnacentral:tRNA from 1 species